CCUGCCCCUAGAAGCAUUGUAGUGUGGCUGCUGUGUUCUAUAUGUGUUAGGCGGUAGAGAGGACAGAGGCUAUGUCUAUGCUCAGUGUUCUGACUGAUGAAUAUCUAAAUGAUUAGUAGUCUAACAUU